ACAGUUCCUCUUCCAAUCUUAGUAUGGUUCUAUACUCUUGCCAAACAACUAUUUGGAAAACUUAACUUCCAAAUUGCAGAACUAACAAGGUAUGGUCCCCGAAUUGGAAUUGCCGUGUCAAUGAUUUUUGGAAUUCUAUGCUCAAUCACAGCUGCAAAAGUGGAGACACGAAGGCUGGGUGUGGUUAAGAGCCACGGUCUAAUCGACAAGCCUGAGGAAACGGUUCCCAUGAGCAUGUUUUGGUUGCUUCCACAGUUUCUUCUCCUUGGAGGCCUUGAAGGGAUUGCAGAAAGUAGCAUUGAUUCGUUCUUAGUUAAGCAAGUCCCUCCAUCCAUUGAUCAGUGCAUGGUUCGGUUUUGUGUUGCUUUUUUGGGAAUGGGGAGUAUAGGCGGUGUCUUGUCUGUUUAUGUAGUGGGUGAGAUAAGUGGACAGGGAGGGAAACCCAGUUGGUUCCAAGACACCCUAAACAAGAGUCGCUUGGAUCAUUAUUACUGGACCUUGGCUGCAUUGUCCGCAGUUAAUCUUGUUCUCUAUGUUUUGGUGAGCUUUUGGUAUGCUUACAAGGAUUCCAGGUCGGAGGAUGAUGAAACUGCUGAGCCAUUUGAUGAGGAUCAUGUGCAACUCAUUUGAUAAUGACAAUGUGCAACUCUGCCACGCAUAAUUUUGUAUCUACGAUUUCUAUAACAUGUCUCUUAUAUCUUUUCUUGGACGAGAUUAUGUGAUUACAUUUCCACAGCUGUGAUGAG
rnacentral:lncRNA from 1 species